CCCCACCUUCAGUUGGAGCACCUGUCAAGGUGAAGAAAGAAAAAAUCGGAGAAAGAAUUGCAGCAUUGCAACAACUAGUCUCACCAUUUGGAAAGUAAAAGAUAAUACGAGGAAUCUGAGUUUGCAAAGCUAAUGAAGGGUUUAGUGAGUGGUUCUUCCUCCUAAUUUGAAAUCCAAACUAAUUUUCAG